rnacentral:rRNA from 1 species
GUAGGUGGCAAGCGUUGUCCGGAAUUAUUGGGCGUAAAGCGCGCGCAGGUGGUUCUUUAAGUCUGAUGUGAAGCCCCCGGCUCAACCGGGGAGGGUCAUUGGAAACUGGGGAACUUGAGUGCAGGAGAGGAAAGUGGAAUUCCACGUGUAGCGGUGAAAUGCGUAGAUAUGUGGAGGAACACCAGUGGCGAAGGCGACUUUCUGGCCUGUAACUGACACUGAGGCGCGAAAGCGUGGGGAGCAAACAGGGAUUAGAUACCCUGGUAGUCCACGCCGUAAACGAUGAGUGCUAAGUGUUGGGGGGGUUUCCCGCCCCUCAGUGCUGCAGCUAACGCAUUAAGCACUCCGCCUGGGGAGUACGGUCGCAAGACUG